rnacentral:rRNA from 1 species
AACGAACGCUGGCGGCAUGCCUAACACAUGCAAGUCGAACGAGACCUUCGGGUCUAGUGGCGCACGGGUGCGUAACGCGUGGGAACCUGCACUUAGGUUCGGAAUAACUCCCCGAAAGGGGUGCUAAUACCGGAUAAUGUCUUCGGACCAAAGAUUUAUCGCCUUUGGAUGGGCCCGCGUUGGAUUAGCUUGUUGGUAGGGUAAAAGCCUACCACGGCGAGGAUGCAUAGCUGGUCUGAGAGGAUGAUCAGCCACACUGGGACUGAGACACGGCCCAGACUCCUACGGGAGGCAGCAGUGGGUAAUAGUGGACAAUGGGCGAAAUCCUGAUCCAGCAAUGCCGCGUGAGUGAUGAAGGCCGUAGGGUUGUAAAGCUCUUUUAACCGGGAUGAUAAUGACAGUACCGGGAGAAUAAGCUCCGGCUAACUACGUG